rnacentral:lncRNA from 1 species
AUUUAACAGGGUGUUGUCAACUUAAUAAAUUGGAGGAGCUCGAUUGGAGUAGAAAUAUCUAUGUAGAAUUACUUCCAUCAUGUCUAGAGAACAUGACAUCUCUUCCGAAUGAUCAAGGCCUCAAGGAAUAAGUUCUGUGGAGAUAUUGAUGUGUCUUUGCUGUCGAAACUUACACCAGUCAAACAAUUCCAUUUCAAAUAAAAUUCACAUGCCCAUUUUCUUUGAGGCUUUAUUUACUCCCUCAAGUCUUUGUUUCAUAUUUGCCAAAGAAAAUGAAGUAAUAGCAAGUAUUGUGUUAUGAAAAUGGGUCCCUAACUUCCAACAAGAAGUUUUCAGUUGGUUAAAUUGCCAUCUAACUCUACCUCAUUUUUUGGGAAUUCUUGAUCUCUCACGUCACAACUUGGGGAGAAAUUAGCCAAUUCGUUAAAGAACAACACUAGACUCAAAGGAGCCUACUUUAGAGAUAAUGCUUUUAGGGGAACUCUCAAGUUGCCAGCAAGUACCAAUCUCAAUAUGGAGACUUUUGAUAUUUCUAAUAAUAAAUUUAUUGGACAUAUUCCAACUAAUAUAAGUGUAAUAAUUCCAAAUUUAAUUCCAAUAAACAUGUCCAAAAUAUGCUUAAUCGUUGUGUAAAUGUUAUGUCAAAGGUCCAAUCGAUUUCAUACAUAAACACUUUCAAUACGAUUAAAUUAAAUUAAUUACUUUCAUACAUAAACACUUUCAAUAUUUUCCAUAUAUUUAUGGAAAAUAUAUCAUUUAAUUGAAUUAUUAUUCUGAUAAAUUAAAUUAAUAAAGUUCAUAGAUUUAAAUUUUGAUAACGUGUUAAUCAGAAUGAGUUGUGACCGUGAAAACAAAUUACAUAUGACUGAAUUUAAAAUUAUACAUAGUAGUAAAUAAUAACAAGAAACGAAUAUCGAUACUAUGGAUAAACCAACACGUUUGGCAUUUCUCACUUAUGCUGUGAGUAGCUAAUAUUUAAAUGGAUAUGUGGAUAUUUUAUUAAGAGAUUUCACGUGGAUAACCAUUCGAGAAUCGGUGGUUAAUCUCCAAUGUUCAAUAGUGUAAUAGGUCCUUAGACUUGAUGUCAUUAUAGUGACUUAUAUGAAGACAGUCAUAUUUUGGUGGUGUCGGUCAUCCUGAAUCACCCUAAUGUAUCCAAAAUGUGACCUGCAUCGAUGAUAGAUGCUGACUAAAUAUCAGAUCUACCACCAAGGCUGACUAUGAGUCACUAAUAAUUAUUAUCCAAAAUAAGAUAAUUAUCAAUAAGAAAUAAUGCAAUGGCCCAAAAUAAUUAUUUCAUGCUUUAUUAAAAUGACUCAUAUCACUCAACCCCUGUUUAGCCUCCAUUAAAACUCAUCAAUUUAAUUUAAAUUUUUUUCUCUCUUAUUUUCAACCACAUAAUGUUCAAUAAAAUAAUUACAUGCAAAUCGAAAAUUUUUCAUUCUUUUGCAACCAUUCAUUUUUCAGAGGAAUACCAUUCCCCCAUUAUAAAUCCAAAUAAUGGGGCCAAACAAAGGCUCAAUAUGCCAUCUAGCUUUAACUCCGAAAUCAUCGGGCUCCUUAAGCCAUCAAGAACCAAUUGCUACUUAUAAGAAAAAUCAUGGGAAAAUAUAUAAGCUAAUAGCUUAGCGAGUGAAAUUUUUGAAAUAUUUAUACUUUCUCAUUUGUACAUAUUUAUCGAAACUCGAGUUCAUGUCAUUUAAUAAUUCAUAGAAUAACUUCAUAUAGUUAUAGCCAAAAAAUGAGAUAUUCUCAUAAUUUUGCAAAAUAUCAUCUCAUCCCAUCACAUGUAAUCCACCAAAAAAUGUACUAUUUGACUGAAAUUUGUAAUCCGCUCCUCGGGCCAAGCGCUUUCGCCAUGAGCCUUUGGCCUCUUUCCUGAAUGAAAAAGCGGAUUUCAAAGAUCAAUUCUAGAACACAAUCAAGGCCCUUCUAUAAACUGUAUGUAAACAGUCAAGACCUGUGUAAGAUAGAAUAUGGCCAAGGCUCCUCUGUGAACUAAAAAAAGUAUAUAAUCAUGGGUACUCUUCUAGUCGAUCUUGAUAUCACAUGUAUCACCUUCCAGUUCACAAUUAAUCCAUAUACAAUCUUUGAAUUCCAUAUAUAUCACAGUGGAAGAACAUUUCCGUAUCAAUAAUGUAACUAAACAAAUAAUUCACAUAAUCACACGUAAUAUAAUAGUAUAAGUACUUCAUAAAUAUUUGAAAAUAUAUAAGUUUUUCCACUCAACAAUUUGUAGAUCGAUCGUGACUUCAAAAUUCUCAUCACCUCCUCACGUUCAAAUACCAAAGCACUCGUCCCAAGAUAUCAUACCUCCUCACUAAAGUGCUUUGAGCAUUUUUCCUACCAUUAGAAAUAGAAAUAAUAAUUUACUAAUAAGAACUUGGAGUCUUAUUAUCAGUGUAAUGUCAUAAUACCAAUUAGAGUCACUAAUAACAUAUCCACCUUUAUAUAAGUUAUUUCAACAGCUAAUUCCCAGUAUUUAACGCUUAAUUUGGUUCUCAUACUAAAAAUCCAAGAAAAUCAAAAUAUUAUCAAAACCAGCACUGUAUUUCAAGACUAUUGAAAUGUGGCACCAAAUUCUGUAUAUUGGAAAGUAUCACCGAAACCAUUAAUAGAAAUAGCACUUUCUGGAAAUCAAAAUAUUAUGAAAACCAGCACUUCUUUUUUCUCUCUUUCUUUCCUUUUCUUCUCCCGUUUUUCCCUUUCUUGAUUUCUUUCUCCUUCUAGUUUCUUCCUUUGUAAAAUGAACCCCUUUCCUUUUAUUUUAAAAGAUUAAUACAAUGUAAAUGAAAAUCAAAUCCUUAGUCUUCUUACAAUAUAACUUUUAGCCCUUAGUAAUAGAGAACUAAGUCCAUUAAUUCCUAUUUUAUUUUAUCUCUAGCCCUUUUCAUGUAUUAGUAAUUAAAAAUUAAGUCCCAUGAAAUUAUUUGUUCAACUUAAAUCCUUAUUUUGACCGACUUUGACCCAUUGAAUUUUUUCCUCGACUUUGAUUAAAUAAUUUGUUGACUUUGACCAUAAUGAGUGGGGUGUAACAUUGGAUGUUGCUUUACCAGGAGUCACCAAUAUGACAUCGUUUAGGUAUGUUAAAAAUCAUAUAAAUGUUGUGAAUGAUCAAUAGAGAAUUCGAUACUCUUAGAUAGUAAGAGAUUAUAUUUAUGUUCCAUUCAGUUAAGUUGAUAUCGAAAUAAUUGUCCAAGGUAAGUAUGUAAGUUGAAAAGAGUUUCGAUUAUCAUUGUUUUAAGAGUUGAAUAAAAGAUAUGAUCUAUAGUCGACAUUCGCAAACUUUCAUAUCUCACAAUUGAUCGAAUCACAUAGGCAAAGGGAUUAUAAUCUAAUGGUAAACCGACAAAUUUGAUUUUUUUUGUACCAUGUGAUAUUUUCAUCACGUGUAAUGCCCUUACAUAUUGUGGAACAAUGACUAUGAAUUAAUUAAGCUAGAAAAAUUAAUGAUAAAUUAAAAAGAAGUUUAUUUUUUCUUAUUUUAAUUAUAUCAAAAUAAUAAUUCAUGUCAUUCGAUAUCAUGAUCAGAACUCCUUAGAAUUCCACAUAAAAGGGAGAACUAGUAGAAUGAUAUUAUAAAUUAAAUAAUUGAAAAGUGUUGGACAUUUAUAAAAUUAAUUAUUUGGAUUGUUUAUUAAUGGAUAUGGACUUCAGUUAAUUGAUUAGAUUAAUUAACUCAUAGAACAAGUUUAACUAAAUAGAUUAAUUAAAUAUGUGGAAAUUACGCCACCCACCUUAUUUGUAGUAAAUAUUUAAAAAAUACUAUGUUAUCUUUUAUUUCAAUAAAUGAUGUAUUUUGUUAAUAAAAUGAACACAUUGAAGAUUUCUAAAUUAAAAGAAUAUUAAAUUAGGUAAAAUAUUUUACUCAUUUAAACACGCCUUUACAUCUAAUACAUUUUGAUUUCUAUAAACAUGCUCGUGUCAAAUGGUGUGAUUAGCCCAAAUGUGUUCAUUCCGUUUAUUACAACUACGUUUGCGUGAUCUCUGCUUGCGAUACAAUAACAGGGAUGACUGUAUUAUACAUAUUAGCUGAAAAUUAUUCGAAAUCAAAUAUCAUAUAAUCGUAUCAGGCUAAAUGGAUGUAUAAUGUCUACUACAUAUCUGAAACAUGCACAUGGUGUUGGUCAAUAUGCAGGAGAAUUUCCAUGGUAAAUUUGCAACAUAUCAGAAAUUAAAACAUAUGUCAAUACAUUCUAGUAUCAGGGAUUUCGAACCAUGUAUUCGAAUUUUAUAGAUUUCACGAGUUGUGUAUACCCAGACAUGAAAAAAUAUCGCAAGAACAAUGUAUGACACUCAAACUCUAAAAUCUUUCACCAAACUUGCACAAUGUUUAGAAUAAUUUCUAGGCAAUCAUUUUUUUUUUCUCUCUUCUAUCAAUUCAACGAAAGUUUGUGUAUAUAAACAAAUCCCUAAAAAAAAUUCCAAAUGUACAAAUGGCAUAUAAACUAGGUGAAAAACAUAUCCCAAAUUUGAGAUAUUUUCGUAAAUAUACUGAUUCAGAGUGUGAAAUAUCUCCCUGGAGAUAGAGAUUUUCGGUUGUAGAUACGGCAAUUUCUAUGAUCCUGUCGAGUGUAGCAAUCACGGUGUGGUCAAACAACGAAAGCCUUUCUUCUUCUUCAAUCAAAUCAGAUUUUUGAAGUGUUUUUCUUUUUAGGAAGAGGUGUUUAAUGGGAGGCACGAAGGAUGGAGUAUUAAAACAUUUCAGUUACAAGAUAGUAUUUUCAGUAUUAUUUAGUUGAUUUUUUUUUUUUUUUUUUUUGGGUUCUAAUUUUGGAAAAUGGUAAUUUUUAAUAUAUUUCAUAAUCAAGAUAGUUUUUUGGUGUUUUAAACGUUACCUAGUAAAACCUGAAAUAAUAUUUUCAAAUGAUGCAUUUACAAAUUUUUUGGAUUAAAUAUUUGACUAGCUUAUGUUUAAUGGUGGGUAAACUACAUAAAAAUAUAUUUAUAAUUACCAGAAAGAGAAAUCAAAAUCUCUUAUGUUUGUUCUCCUGUGCGGCUUAUCAUCAGAGGCUAGACAAUUAGACAAAUGUGGUAUGAAAAGAUCGUGACUCACAAAGGGGUACAAAGAUAUCAAUUGUUUAUUAUCAAAAUUCUCAAAGGGGUUAGAAGGCCUUGCUAUAUGUAAAAUUCUAAUCAUGAUAUCUAUCUACAUAAAAAGAAGAUCCUUGAAGGGAACUAAAAUUAUUUUUAAAUUUCAUUGUGCAUGUAUAAGUAAAUUUCUAACUAUACCAUAUAUUGACGGAGACUUGAAAUCUUUAGUAUCAACCUUGAUACUUUUGGCCUCUUAGAUAUAUCAUAGAACAAUUUAUCUGGCUCAGUCCUGUCUUGCUUCAAUAAAUCAAGCAUAAGUUUGGUCUAUCUUAACAAUAACCACUUGGAAGGUGCUCUUACCCAUGGAUUAUUUAACAAUUCUUUUUGGUGACAAUGGAUCUUAGAGAGAAUAAAUUCAUAGGAAGUAUCCCUCAAUGGAUUGGCAAUCUAGCAAUCUUGAGCAUUAUUCUACUUGGAGGCAAUCAUUUUGAAGGCAUAAUUCCUUACCAAUUAUACCAAAUAAGGGUUAGCAAGUAGACCUAUCUUAUAAUAGCCUCAAUGGUUAGAUGCCACACUAUUUGGGUAACAUAACACUAGAGGUAAACGAGAUAAUGUAUAUCAUGGUUCGGGAGAUACCUUUUCCUCAGUAGUCACAUUCAGGUCAUUGUUGGGUUGGUGCCUCUUCAGCGUUAACAAUGGAUUUGGAGGAAGGCAAUUUUGAGUUUACCUCAUUUUCAUCUCUCUCUAGAGAAUAUAGAUAAUGGUGGAUGCCUUGGCAAAAACUUGGGGGACAACUAUCAAGUGAAAAUGGUAAUGUUUCGAAUUGAAUCUUUCUACAUUGUAGAAAGAAGCCGCGUACUUCCUUCCCUUAUGAGUAAAGGAAAACCAUAAUAAAGUUUGGUUAUAAAAAACGAAGAGGAUUGAAUGAAAGCCCAAUACAUGAUGGGAUGCCUCUUUCAAAAAAAAAAAAAGAAAGAAAAAAAAAAAAGACAACCUGGAUUAGAUUGAGUUCUAAAGGGCCUGCCAUGUGUCUCUCCAAAAAGUAGAAGAAUUCGGAUUCAAGGAUGGGCAAAUUACGGUAACAUUACAACAAAGAAAAAUUUGUAUUCUUACAAGGGUAGUAUCCUCAACCACACAUCAAGAAUUGAUCUUUCUUCUAAUUAUAAAUUAUAUGGUGAAGUUUUAGAUGAACAUGGAGAGUUAAGGGAGAUUUGUGAACUAAACUUGUCCCACAACAAUCUUAGUGGGACAAUUCCAUCAACAUUCUCAAAUCUACGUCAAUUCAAUAGUUUGGAUAUCUCCUAUAACAACUAAUGAUGGACAAUCCCCACUGGCUUGAUCAAGUUAAACUCCUUAGAUGACUUUAGUUUGGUGUGUAAUAGUUGGAAACAAAAGACAUCUCUCAAUUUAAGUUUUCCAUUCAAAUAUAAUUGAUAAAUGUAUAUAAUGAGAGUCCUAUGCGAUGGGGUCUGAAGUUGAGGACAUGUUACACUACAAAAGAGUUUAAAUUCACGAGCUUCAACAAACCUAAAAGGUAGCUCAUCUAGUAUUACCAUCUUAGCACAUGCAACUUUGACCUCUUCCUUACUAUGACCAAUAGCUAUAAGAUUGCUCCCAUUACCCUCUUUUCGAUUCUCAAAAGAUAUGAUGUUUUGCUUCUUGUCUUGCAAUAGACCAGAAUACUUCUUACAAUUAUUCAUGAAGUGGGUACCCAAAGUGCUUGUGCCAUACUUAUAGCCACAAGCAUAAUCUACUCCACACUAGUUACACUUACGCCUAACAUUUGGAUCAUCCCUUGGACCCAAUAAUGCAAAGAAAUCACAGACACAUGAAGCUAUUCCAUGAAAUUUUCACUUUCCUAAUGUUGAUAGUGGAUGUGGAGGAAGACUUGAUAGCAUAUAUGUGUCAUAUAAUUGAGCUGGCAUGUCAUUUUCUUCACACAUAUUGAUAUCAACCAACAUAUUCCACCAAAAAGUACUAAUCAAACAAAUAAAACUACAAAAGUAUUAAUGCACCAUAAGAAAGCAAGAAUAUUGCACCCGUGUCCAUUUUACUUGAGGCUUUUGCAAAUAACAACAAAACACGUUAACUUGCAUUAGUAUUACCAUGAGAAAAAAAAGAUUAUUAUUACCACCAUGAAAUAAACUGAAUUUAAAGAAUAUGUGCUUUACAAACUUCAAUAGACGUGUGGUUGGAAGCUCCAAACUAUACAAAAGAAUAAUAGUCACAAUGCACAAACACUGAUAAUAACAUUUAUCAUAUUCGUGCACUUCCAAUUGCAAUCUCGUAUCUACUCAUAAUGUACUGCAAGUGCAUUAUUUUGCAUUAAACCAUUCUCAUGGUAUUCAUAUUUACAUCUUCCAUAUUCGUUAGGCAUAUUGCAAUCUAGAACAAAUCGCAUUUUUUGCGAUGAUAAAAUAAGAAGAUAAACACCAGACUUAUGGAACAUUAUUUAUUUAUUUUUUACAAAUUUUUUGGGAUUCAUUCAUAGCAUCAUCUUGCCGAUAAUUUUUAGUUUAUCAUCAAAUAACUUUGCAUUUGUACAUAGUAUUCCUGCAACUAACCAUGUCUAGAAAAAAGGAACAAUUAUACAUUUUAAGCCAUUCUUUUGUCUCCAGUAAUGUAUCUAUUUAGUCUAACAUCAAUUAAUUUCACAAGGUAUUCUAACUAUAAUUAAAAUGUAAUCAACUUCAUAAUGAUAUAAUGUUGCUAACCAAUUAAUAUCAGUUACUAUCUUUGUUAGAUAUUAUUAAUCAACUUUCUUAAACAACAACAACAACAAAAUGAACAAAUUAAACCAAAGUGAGCUAAAUGAAUAUACAACAGUUUUUAAUUUUAUUUUUUUUCCCCAAACAACUAAGAACCCCCGAAAGCAAAACACAGAACCCAAAUAUUAAUUCAAUUAUUCAGAAUUUUGACGUCCAAACUAAUGUAAAACUGGAAUGGACAAAUGAAUUAAUAAAAUAUAGAAUUGUUUCCGGCUGUCGGUGAGUAAUUGUUAUACGGAUUUAAUGAUAUAAACAAUAACCAGGUUACCUCUAGUGAUCAAUUGAAUAUUCUCUCGGUAGAUGCAUUUUUUAAAAUCAAAUUUCAAGGGAUAUAUAAUAUAUUCUAAAGAAUGGGAUUGCCAACUAUACAGGAAAAAAAUCAAUACCAUAUGCUUACUCCAUACAAUUCCUUCAAGUUGGAUAAUUAAACAACAACUUUAAUUUUAAGUUCAGCAAACCUUGUAAUUGGGAAUCUUGUCCUUCAAUUCAAGCAUUUAGCACAAAAAUCACGUCAAAAAAGUGAGACGAGAGACUGAGGCACGAGCAGAAGCGAGAGAAUAUGAGAGGUGGAAGAGACGAGAGGCACAGAAGAAAAUUGAAAACUGAAUGGUUUGAAAUUGAUUUUUAGGUUUUUAAGUACUAUUUUUCUGUAAUAUUUUUUUAUUUAUUGGGUUGGGUUGGGU